AACGAACGCUGGCGGCAUGCCUAACACAUGCAAGUCGAACGAGACCUUCGGGUCUAGUGGCGCACGGGUGCGUAACGCGUGGGAACCUGCCCUUAGGUUCGGAAUAACUCCCCGAAAGGGGUGCUAAUACCGGAUAAUGUCUUCGGACCAAAGGUUUAUCGCCUUUGGAUGGGCCCGCGUUGGAUUAGCUAGUUGGUAGGGUAAAAGCCUACCAAGGCGACGAUCCAUAGCUGGUCUGAGAGGAUGAUCAGCCACACUGGGACUGAGACACGGCCCAGACUCCUACGGGAGGCAGCAGUGGGGAAUAUUGGACAAUGGGCGAAAGCCUGAUCCAGCAGUGCCGCGUGAGUGAUGAAGGCCUUAGGGUUGUAAAGCUCUUUUACCCGGGAUGAUAAUGACAGUACCGGGAGAAUAAGCUCCGGCUAACUCCGUG
rnacentral:rRNA from 1 species